UUAGAGGGAUCAUAUUUCCCUAACCUCUAAAAACGGCGCCCUCAUGGAGUCUCCUCUGCAUUGUCACUGUCUUGGGCAAAACCUCCCCAAAAACACCUUCAGCCAUUUCCAAACAUCCAUGAACGCCCCCAAUAGUCAUUAACCACCUCCUGUUCGUUGUCCAUGUUGCUGGAAUUUUGGAUUUUCGGAGUCUAUUAUUUUUGCUUCUUAAUCGGGUUUUAGAAGUAGCCGAUGUGAUAUUUUCCAAGGUAUUUAUGUUUUCGUCGAGGCCGUAACCGUUGAUUCAUCUUGUUCGUGUAAUUAGUGGAAAUUUUCCAUCAAUUAAAGAUUCUCAUUCAGUUUUGAUUCUUGUUUCUCCAUGAAAUGUACUUCUGUUAAAGGCAGUCCUGCUUCAUUUUUCAUGAGUCAAUUUACUAAGCUUCAUAAUUUGAUCAAACAUUGGAUCUCAUUUUUUAAUUUGUGAGUUCAAAAGAACCAGUGUUUGGGUCCACAUGUGUUUUCGUCCAUUCUGCCUAGAAGUGGUCAAGUUCUUAAUGUGGUAAAGUUAAUAGUAUGGACUAAUGGACCUUCUGGUUUAUUUAUGUCAAGAUUUAUCUUCGUAUACUAGGAAAUUACAUAGACUGAAAUUAAGCCUCAUGGUCUUAUUCUUCAAAAAAUGUAAUUCUUUUACUAUUUGAUCUUCAUAAUUGUUUUGGAUAUCAGAUAAGUUGAAUUGUUAUUGUGUGUCUCAUAAAUU
rnacentral:lncRNA from 1 species